rnacentral:rRNA from 1 species
UAUCUCGUAGAGUCUGCAUAUCAAUAAGCGGAGGAAAAGAAACUAACAAGGAUUCCCUAGUAACGGCGAGUGAAGCGGGAAGAGCUCAAAUUUGAAAUCUUAAAGGUUUUACCUUGACGAAUUGUAGUUUAAAGAAGUGUUUUCUGUUGAAGUUUCGGUAAAAGUUCUUUGGAAUAGGACAUCAUAGAGGGUGAGAAUCCCGUAUUUGACCGUUACUUUCCAGCUGUGUGAUACACUUUCAAAGAGUCGGAUUGUUUGGGAAUGCAGUCCAAAAUGGGUGGUAAAUUUCAUCUAAAGCUAAAUAUUGGCGAGAGACCGAUAGCGAACAAGUACCGUGAGGGAAAGAUGAAAAGAACUUUGAAAAGAGAGUUAAACAGUACGUGAAAUUGUCAAAAGGGAAGCGUUUGACACCAGUGUUGUUUUCUCGAAAAUCAAUUAAAAAUGGCUUGAUUUUGUGUUGUAUUGACCUUAAAAGCUUUCUUCACUUUUUUCAUGUCUUUUUUAAUGCACUUUUCGUUUAACAAGUCAACAUCAGUUUCUUUUGUUGUGAAAAGGUCAUUGGAAGGUGGCUUUCUUUUCGGAGAAAGUGUUUAUAGCCUUUGACUUCUGCAAUCGGAGAGACUGAGGUCUGCAGCGUAGAUCCUUCUGGAUUAGAUUCAUUUGUGCUAAGUUACAACCGUUUAUAGACAACUUGUUGACUAUAUUCGAUCCUGUAGCUUACUCGCUUAUGUAAUUUUACCUACGCUUAGGAUGUUGAUAUGCAUGACUGAUAU